UUCGUCGUCCUGUAAUCUGGGUUAAAAUCCCGGAUCUGUAUGUAAUACGGCACCUGGUGAUCCAACAUAUUCAGUAGUGUAGUUGUAUUUAUUAUUCUAGUUGACAGGCUUCAGUUAAAUGAUCCCCAUAUAGCACCAAGCAAUAGCAAAACUCGCCCCAUUUCAUUACGGCCAUCUCGUGUAUAGCGUUUGGUAUUUUGAUAUGAUCUCCCUGUAACAAACAUAACACAAAAUAGCCAUGCAAAUCAAGUUUAGAAAAGCAAGACAUAAUCUUUUGUAGUCUUUUUUUAUAAUUAAAUCGUCACCUUUGAACACGUAAUUUAAAAAAUUCACUGCCAGCAGUCUCACUAGGAAUUUUUAAAAAGCGCAACCUUUACAUUUCUUUGUUUUCCUCUAGCAAGAUCAGAGAGAGAGAGAGAGAGGACCUUGCUGAGGAGUAACACAAAUCUUAUCGCAGAAGUUCUCAAGUGCAAGCCGGGGCAACCAUGUCAUUGCAGCCCACCCCAACCCUCAAACAGGGCUGGGCUUUGUCCGCGGAGUGUGGCCCUUUUUUCCCUGCACCAGGAUUAGACUUCCGGCAACUGACCUCUCCACGGAAGGUCAAGCAGCGACCGUGACCCGCUCGCCUUCAUAGCCAUCCGAACGACACGGGAAUACUAGGUUCACUAUCCUAAAACAAAUCCCCAAUCCUCCCACCCGCUUCAUUGUUUCCUCACUCUGGCCGUAAAAUCUUCAAUGUCAAUCACCGGAUACAAGAACCCAUACCCAUAUUUUGCAUCUCGCCCAUUUUUUUUUCUCGCUCACUACUCUCUCCUCUCUUGCUCUCUCUCUCUCUCUUUCUUCUCAGUAUCAAGGAUCUUGUCGUUGGUGGUGGUAUUUUUGUGAGAUAGGUUUGAGUUCCUUCUAUGGUGUUUUGGCCUUUCCAUAAUUUUGAAAAGUUGGUUGCUUUUCUGUAAAAUAUUAUUGGUGUACCCAUUUCUAAUAUUUGGGUGUGUUGAGGGGCUGCGAUAUUUGGGCCCGCCGAUCGCCGCGGCGUCGCAUGGGAAAGUUUGACUCACGUCUCGUGCCCCCAAAAAUUUUUUUUUAAAGUUUGAAAAGUUAGGCAUGUAAAUUUUUCACACAGUAAUACUUAGAUAGCGCAUAAGGCUACCAUAUUUCGUAGCAAUGUGAUGGGAUGUGGGUACAAGAGUGGUGGUCACACGUUGAUUAGACUAAAAUAACGGGGGGAACUGAUAGUAAUAAUUGCACAAAGAAUUGAGAAGCAGACCAACUGUUAGCCUAUGGGAACUGAAUCAUUUCAGUUUCACAUAUUAUCUAUCCAACUAUCAAGCGCAAAACAUCUACAUAUUAUAAGCAUCUAUUAUGCCAAAAUAAUACCAUCCAAGUGGAAAAUAUCAUAACAAACAUCCAAGUUUAUAACAUGUAUAUAAAAAACACUAGCCCGUUCAAUUAGUUCGACACAUGAAUUAUUAAUAAAUAAUUAUUAACCUAACCAUAUAAUAUAAACUCAGUUCUCUAAAUUUUAAAUCAGAACCGAAUCAUUUAAACCUUGUUUACCCAUCAUUUAAACACUUCAGAUUAUUGGUACAACCCUUUUGUUGUCUCUACAUUGACUUUUUUCUUUUCUUUGUAAUAUGGGGUGUAUUGUUCACAUACUCUCCUGCCAUGUCGAACCGAAUAGAAAGCCAAUUACUUGAGAAGUAGCCAUAUAUAUCAAGUCAUAACACAUCCAUUUUAAAUAAUCGAGAUUUUAGUUUCUAAUUCGUCAUUGCAACAUGCCUACUUACAAUAGAGUUAGAGAUGCUAUUUGUUCACAUUACCACCCAUAAUGUGAUUAGCUUAAACAACAUAAAACGGUUCCUUCAAGCAAUAAACCUCACUAUUCCCACAAAGAUCAUCAUUGACCAGUACGAGUAUCCAACAAAAUAAGGCAAUUUUCUCUCGCAAAAUGGUAGUAUGUUUUGCUUUGGCGUGUUGCUAGUAACAUCACUAGAUAAGUUGUGUACCCUCUCAUCUCUCUCGUACAUUUAUCUUCCAUUCUAACUUUGAUUCCAUUACACCGAGACCUAACCAUAUUCACACCCUCAUUUUUUUUUAUCCUCUUGUUAGUAAGUUUUGCACUGUUUGUUUUGUUCACCAUAGAUAGCGCAUUCGCCAUUCAAAGGCUAUGAGAUCGCUAAUGAACUAAAAUUUCCAAUCUUCACCUUCAGAGACAGUCCAUGAAUUUGUUUUUAGAGAACAUCUUGACCUAUUUUCUCCAAUUCAUUGAGUUGUCUUUCUUUUUACUCUAAUUUUUCUUGAAUCUUAUAGAUGGAAGCCCAGAAGGCCAUGAAGUAGUAUGAUCAAAUUUCUAUGCAACUUCGGUACAGUGUGGGGAGGUGCAUCCAACCUGAAAAUUAAGUUGACCAAAGAAAUAUCAAUUCAAUUGUUUCAUUCCAACCCUCUCGUCUACCACUACAGCUCCGUUUGGAACCAGCUUAUUUGAAGUUUUGAUUGCCUUUUUUGCUUAAAAUAAGCAAAAAAGCCAGUCAGAAUUAUUUUUUUUUGCUUUUUUAUUUUUGCUUAUUUGCUUAUUUUUAUCUAAAGUAAAGACAGAAAAUUAAAAAAGACAAAUUUUUUUAAUUUUUUCGAUAAUACCUUAAAAAAACUUGACUUUCAAGUAAUUACCGAACGAAGCUUUAUAUUGGUAACCGGAUUGAGCAAAAUUUCAGUUUGUUGGCCACUAGCUAGGUGCAGCAAGUGUCAACAGGGGCGGCGAACCAUUCAAUUUCCACAUUAAUUUUAUAUUAAGCAUAGGAGUACGAGUAGAUUGCAGCCUGCCUCGGAUAAGUUCAUUUUUUCACAAAUGAACACGGAUCCGCUCAUAGAAGGCAAAUUCAACUAAAAAAUGAGUAAAAAUAUUCCCUGUACGAGGAUUGAUUUUUGUAAGGGUUAAUAAAAAUCUUCAUUGCAUAGGUUAAUUUUGCAUGUGCUGUAUGACAUAAAUUAGUAAAUAUGGGACCCAAUUUUGUAAGUUAAGAGAUUUGUUAAUUGAGGAAUAUAUGGGUUGUCCAAUGAAAAUGUUAAAAAAAAAUCUUGGGUUCCACCAAUUAUUUUCUUACAUUGAUACUAUCCACAUUACCAAUACUCUGGCAUUUGUAACAACCGUUAACUAUCUUUUAACCAUUAACAGUCAUUGAGAGCCAAAUACCGACUAAAACAUUUCUAACUAUUUGAGACUUCUCAUCUUAGUAAUGCAUUAACAGGGGCCAUGAAGAUACUCUAGAUAAUCAAUUACAGUUCUCAAAUACUACUUUAAUUGGCAAGAUCUAUUAAAGCAAUUGCACAAAUUAACAAUGAUAAGAUCAUCUCCAUUGGCAAUAUAUAUUUUUAUUUGUUAAGUGUCGAAAGAACAAAAGUGAGAUCCAAUUAACUUGUUAGAUACUUAUUUUCGAAUUAAUUUACACAUGGCAAACUCUAUUGCAUAUACUACACACAAAGUGGAUGAUUUUUAUCUUUAUAUUUGAUAUUUUAUAUUUAUCAAUAUCCCCCUUAUAUGAUAUUUUGAUAUUUUAUCCAUUCCCCUUAUGAUAUUGCUGGGAAGGGGUUAAUGGGAUUUUUUGCCUUCUGGCCAGACCAGGCACCUUGAAAAGUUUGCAAAUGAAGUCUUAUUUUACAUAGCAUAAUUGUGGUAGGUUUGGGCAAACAGAAGGGUGAAUAGCAAUUGGUUGGCAAUGAUCUAUUAGGAUGAUAUAAGAAUCAAUCCUCACACGACAGUAAUCUCAAUUAUGGAGGUCAUAGAUGAUUUCAAUGUGAAAGUGUCCCAAAGUCAGGUAUAUAGGGCAAAAAACAAGGCUUUGAAGAGAAUACAGUAAAAUUGUGGGACUUUUGUAAUGAGAUUGCAAGGUAGUAAUCCUGACCGGAUGAGUUGCUAUAGUGAGAGUGAUGAUAUGGCCCAAAAUACACGAGAAAUAGGAAGGAUCAAGAAGAUGUAUCAGCUUACAGACCCUUGUGUGUUUAAAUUGAACAGAGUUUGAAUGUAGGGCAAACUUUGAUACCCACCUCUCAGUAACCUAGAAGAUAAGACUUGCGCGUGAGAAGAUGGCAACUAACUGGGAUUCUUUGAGCAUUCUACUUGGUGUGAUUUGUGGGCAUCAAGGGACCAAUCAUAAGCAGUAUAAUGGACCAAUGUCAUUCAGGCAGACUUCAUGAAGAAAGAUCUUAUGACAUGUCCUGCAACCAAUGAUGGUUUGAUAUGUGAGAAAUAACCAAGGCCUCCCCAGCCUUUGGCAAAGCUACCUGGGAGUGCCCAAAAAAGCUACAAGAAGGAACCAGUGAGCUCCUCCAGCAUCCCCAACACAAAUUGAGAAGACAGCAUUCCAAUGAGUUGUAAAGGUGUGGGCAAACGAGGCACUACAAUAUGAACUGUACACUGAUCUUGCCAAUUCCCUCAACUCCAAGGAAAAGUCCCUCCAGCUUCCCAAGGUGUAAGGCUAUAUAACCAUCAACCAUGAGGUGCACACAUAGGCUGCACUUUCAGUCCAAAGUUUCAGUUCCAAUCUUUCAUCACCUCCAACUUGUGUCCCCAAGCUGCGGCCAACCUCAUGGGGCUGCCUGCUUUUUCGAUCCCCAGCUAGGAGCCACCUCGGGGACUGCAACAUAUGCAGGUCCUUUCAGCCCCAAUUGGGCUCCAUGCUAGAAUUCAACUCCCCAACAUCCUUAAAAUUAACUAUUCUCUUUGUUAUGAACUCUAUCUAUUUUUUAGGGAGGCCCCUUACUUUUGUUAAGACUUAAUCUUAUGUUUUGGUUUAAUUACUAGUAAGUGCUCGUGUCCACGGGCUCUAUGAAAAAAAAUAUUUUAACGAUUGGUCGAGUUUUUAUAACCUAAAAACAGAUAAGAUAUAACUCAACUGGAAUUUGAAUUGAAAAAUCGGAAUUCCUUACAAACCAAACCACAACUCAAAGUGCAAUUAUUGCAUAAACCAAAGUUACAUGAUAAUUAAAUAAAGCUAAAAAACAAAACCUUGCAAAAAAAUUAAACUGUCACUAUACUAUUUUUUCUCCCCCGAGAUUAAUAAAAUGAACAAAGGAUAGAGAUCUCUUUAAGAUAGAAUUGGACGAUUCUAAGUUCAAACACAAUCUACUAAACUACUAUACACAAAUCUCUAAACUUAUGCUAAAACAAGAGUACCUAAAAAGUACAUUUAAUAACACAAUGACAUUGCAAAUUAGUCAGCAAUGUCAUCAUCAUCCAAACUACAGGAAAUAUAUUGGGUGGACUCUCCCUCCAACAUCAUCUCGUUAUAUCCAGGUGACACGGAGCUCAAGUCAUUCAGUUCACAUCAAAGAUAAUUCCAAAAAAUUGUCGUCAUUACUCCAAUAAAAUCGCUCAUUUAUAAAACAUAUAACCACACAUGCAAUGUUUAGUAUGUUAAAUCUUUAGACACAUGAAAAAUAGGUCUAAACAUUUCUUAUGGAAUAAGCAAAAUCAAUUUUGAUAACGACAAAGAUCCCCAACCAAGACCAACCAACCAUCCAAAUAGUAAAUUAGUACAUUCAAAUUUUGACCAUAGAGGGUUGUUGUAUUGGAAAGCAAUAAAGUGAGAGAAAGAACAGAAAGGACUUCAACCGAUAUCAAAGACCCACCCCGAAAAUCGAUUGAAGCCAAAUUGAGAGUUUGGGGACAGCCCGUUAAACACGUUUUCGUGGGCGGUAAAGGCGGGCAGGAGCCCCUGAGCUGCCCUAGCUGCCGCCCGAUUUUUUUUUUGAUGAUUUUGCCACCUAAGAAGCCCUUUCUCCGAAGCUGAACGAACCAACCCGCUAGGACUGUGACCUUGGACCAUGUUAUGCCCACGUCCAAUCACACCGGAGCAAGCUCCGCGGGCCCAGUAUCGUUCCAAACCCCCAAAACCCAACCAAGCUUUCAAAAGCCUUGAAUCGCUGAAUUUGCGUUUGAGUGAGGGAUUUGCAAAUCUGCUAGUGUUAUGAGCAACGCACGCCAUCCCGUAUUGCCUGAAACGCAAAAACAGAGAUGAAAAAUAUAGCAGACCAAGAAAUGAAAUGGGUUGGGGGCAAUUGAUCCAUGAGCUGAAAUGUUGAUGAUUUUGUGUGAGGUGAAGAAAAUCUGUGGAUGGUCUUUCGUUUCAGUACCAAAAAAAACUGACAGAAUAAAAAUGUUCUACUAAAAAUAAACCUGAAAAAUAAACGAAGGCAAGAGAAUUGCUUAGGCUAUGAUUAAUGGUAUACCUCUCACGACUAAAACAAAACAAAACCAUAAUCCUAAGUACCCCCUAUUUUAAUGAAUUUCAUUCAGUUUUGGGAACUCAGGGCCAUGAUUUAGGAAUGAGCUUUGGGUGGGGGGACAGAAACACAAGUGACUGCCCAUACAAAAAUUCGCAUAGCAGUACACUCCACAUACACACUCCAAGCCACUCCACUCCACAAUCAAAGUACACUCGGACAAACUCCACACACUGUGUUUUUUUUUGUUUUUAUUUGUUUUUUUUUAUUCUAAAAAGAAAAACAGAACAAUCCUUUGUGUUUUCAUUCAUUUCAUCAAUACCUGGAAUCAAACCAAUACAGGAAAAAGACAGAUUUGAUUCCACAACAUGCCCGAGUUGCCAUCACGCGAAUUAUAAAUGUUGGGAUUCCUGUUACCCUGAGAACAAACAAAAAGAAGACUAAGAUUUACAAAUCUCAUAAAUGUGUGUGGAAUAAAGAUAUCCUCUCCUUCAAAAAUCUAAUUUCAUGCAAUAAAAGAGGACAAUAUGGAGACUCUGAAGCUUAUUUUGGAUCGUGAAUUUGAGAAGGGAUUUUAUGAAUAAAUAACAAAUACGGGGGGCAUCUUUCCCUUCAUAACCCCCACAAAUCCAUGACUCAAAUCAACAUCAUGUUUUCCUACACAAAACAACAAGCUAUACAAUCAAACCAUAUACUGUCUCGACUAAGAAUAAGAACAUGAUAUCCACAUCCCUGCCCAGCACUAUAAAGGAAGAAUACAAACAAUUAAUAACGAAAGAUACAUCUUGUACUCAAACAUCUCAAUUUCCGAGCUAAACCGAUCAUAAAUCCACGAAUAAAACAGUACUAACUGUAACAUUUCGAGCCAAUUGGUAGAGAACGAAAGAAAAUAAUAGAAUAAUAGUGUUUAGAAAAGACCCGCCCUGCAAUUUAAACCCUCUUUCUUCUCCGCAUUAUAUGUCAGAUCAACUAUGAUCAGGAAUUACCUGCUGUGCAGAAUAAUAUAGGCGCUUGUUAGAUUGACCUGAGUUCCAACUUCUCCCAUAAAACGACGAGGGCUUGUCUGUAUUGAUUGCACUUGCUUCGUCCGGAUUCUUUCUCAAUGCAGCUUCUUGCGUUUCUCUGGUUCCGUUUGCCUGGGCCUUUACCAUGUAACUUGUGAGAUAAACCCGAAAUGCUUCUUUCGAGUCCAUGAUUCUUCCGUACUCAUCCUCUCCUCUCAAUUCUUAUUCUCCUUCUUCGACCAUCAUCAGCAGUACCAAAUCUUUCCUCGUCUUGGCG
rnacentral:lncRNA from 1 species